AAAACGUGGAGAUAUGUGGGUUUCUAAACAUCCGACGUGACGUUGUGCACGAAACUUUCUCAAAUUUUACCACAAACUACACAUGUGAUAUCCUCACACUUCACCAAGUUUCACGAUUUUUUAAACUUGUUUGAAUUUUCCAUAAUUUAAAAUAUAUUCGCCACCUUCUUCGAAGUCAGGUUUUGCGAAAGAAACGUGCGAGAACUAGGGUAUUUUCUUGCACACAGCCUCGAAUUAGGGUUAGUAUCAUAAAUAUCAACAUUUCAUGCCAAGAAACGCUAUAUUUCAUGCACUCGUAGUUCGAACCUAUAUUUUUAAAGAAUUUCAAUUAAAUGAACAAAAACCAUGAAAUAUAGCAAAUAUUGAUAAAAUUACACCAAACUUGAAUAUGUUGGCUAAAAAACAAAAAAAAAGUAUGCCGAGAGCCCUUGCCUAGGCUCUCGGCAAAGAACUCUCUUUGCCGAGAGUGUGACAAAAGCUCUCGGCCAAUUAAUUUCGAGAGUAAAAAAAAGAACAGUGCCUCAAGUAAUUUUUGUAUAGUGAAUUUAAUACACGACAAAUAAAAAAAGAACAGUGCUCUAAAACUUUUUUAUAGUGAAUAACCAUUUUAAAUAAUUUUUAAUUGAUUUUGAAAUAAAAAAUAAAAAACGGUUUGCCGAGUGUCAGAUGGGGUCCUGUGCAGGGCCAUUGGUGCUAUACAGUCGAGAGAACACUCAAGUCUGUUCGCAAAAAAUGCGGAAACAAAGGCAAAAUUGAGGCUUCCAUUGCAAGUGCAUUCGUUUUGGAGGAGGUUUCAAACUUCACAACAUUGUACUAUUUUGAGAUGCUUCCAAGCGUGCAUAAUCCAACCCCUCGUUACAAUGAAGACGAAAAUGAAUCGACCCUAAGCCUUUUCAGAGGGCAAC
rnacentral:lncRNA from 1 species